AAUAAGUGCAGCCAUAAGUUUUCCGUGCCAACUUUGAUCAUCCGUUUUAUUUAAAAAAUUUUUGCUACUAAUGUUUUUAUUGUUAUUAGAUUAUAAAACAUGAAUAUAGUUUAUACAUGACUUAUGUUUUUUAUUAUUUUUAAAACAAUUAAAUAAAACAGACGAUAGAAAGAAACUCAUGGCACCCAAGACA
rfam:Oryza sativa (indica cultivar-group) chromosome 11, whole genome shotgun sequence.